GCAGGAAAGAAGGAAACCACAAAAAUUUAAAGAGGAAACUGCCGAAAACGUUCAACAUGAGCAUUACCAUGCCCACGGACUUUUUGGGUUCGAUUUGGACAAGUCAAGCCACCACCACCCGUUGACAUCGUCAUCUCCUUCAAUGUUGAUUUACAAGUUUCUGCUCGUUUGCGUGAAAAGUUAAUGGUAAGAUAUUUUUAUGGCAGAUUGAAACAGCUGAUGAAAUGGAUCAGACUGUUUAAGUAACAACUAAAAAGUUAAAAAGAAAAUACCAGAGAGAAGCAAAAAGCCCUCCAAUCCCACUACACGUGUUUUCCCUCCACUGGACCGUCAUCAAAACCAGUUCAACUCGUCGUGAAGCCACAUCAAGGAAAUACCUCGACUUUAUCUCUCUGUCGCUUGGUUGGUACCUGGCAAGCAAUGGCGUCGACGAUUUCUCUGAUUGGCCAGAUAUCGAGCCCACAUGGACUUGGACUUGACGUCUCCCAAAGACCCAGCACCCCCUUCUCACUCUCCCGCUAUAACUUAAGUUCAAAGACAAAUUUACAGAGCUUAUCUCAUUCUGGUUACCGACACUUUGGGCAUAUUCAGAGAUCUGUCCUUGUUAAUGGUCUUUUUGGCGGAAAGAAAGAAAAUAAUGAGAACAGUGAUGAUGCGCCUUCAAAGGCAGGAGUUCUUGGAAACAUGCAAAAUCUAUAUGAGACUGUGAAGAAGGCACAAAUGGUUGUCCAAGUUGAAGCAGUGCGGGUGCAAAAAGAACUUGCUGUAGAAGAGUUUGAUGGUUACUGCGAAGGGGAGUUAAUAAAGGUUACUCUGUCUGGGAACCAGCAACCCGUUCGCACGGAGAUUACUGAGGCUGCAAUGGAAUUAGGACCAGAAAUAUCAGGUGUGAUUUGAGAAACCCUGGCUCGAUAGAUGAAAAUUUUAGGGUAUGAAAAAGUGGCUGAAUUGACUGGAAAUAUGGCCUCUUUUGGGGAACAUUGGGAUGAAAGUUGGAAAUUUAGAUAUCUGUUAUUUGUGACGGAAGGAUGCAUCAGAAACUUUCGCUUUUAAUUACUGAGGCAUACAAGGAUGCACACCAGAAGAGUGUCCAGGCUAUGAAGGAAAGGAUGAGCAAUCUUGCCCAGAGUUUAGGAAUGCCGCAAGGACUCACUCCUCAGUGAGGAAUCUAAGUUAUGUUACUUAUAUGCAUACUAGUAAGUUGUGUAAGAUGGACAAUUUUGUUUACGAAGGCUCGUUUAUCGUCAUAUGAAACUCUAAUUAAAGUGAAGCUUUAGAAUCUGUGGCCUUUGUGCUGGCUGUUUACUAAACAACCUGAUGUUUAUCUUCCUCUCACCUCUAUAGU